AUGUACGCUUACAUGUAAUACAUGAUAGACUCGAUCAAUACCUGUAAUGUCUUCAUAAGAACUAUAAGACGAUGGAUUUAAAAUUUAAGCCAUGAGAAUUUUACUUAUUCUGAAUAUGAGAACUUGAUUAUUUCCUACAAAAAAGAUGGAUAUACCACUGUUUCUCUAUUCAUUUGAUAAUUUAUACCAGCCUGGAGAUAUCUAUGACUUAGGAGUCCAAGCGCAAUACGGUUUUGUCUGUAGAUUGAUCUGUAAAAUUUUCUCAGGCAGAAAUAUAGCAAUAGCAACUCUUCUUGGGACAAGUGCUUUCCAUCGGCUAUGGUGCAGAAUGAUUACAACCACUAAGAAGGUUUUUUGCAUCCAAACUUCAAAGAAAUCUAUCCGUUUGUUCGAGAAGCAAAGAAUUUCCAGAAUAUGCAUUACAAAGCUUAGAUCCAAAGGAUUCUCCCAAACUAUAUUCUCUAAUCCUGGUUGUUUGUUACGCUUCCUCCCGACUGAAGGACGAAAUUGAUACAUCAUUAGAAAACAUUUCAUAUAAAGGAAAAAUAAUGCUGAUCAUAAUACAUUCUUGUGAACCGACUCAAAGGCCAACGAAAAUUCUGGACAGGUGCUCGGACAGAAGAGUCAGAUCUUUUACAACUCUUCUGAUAUGGAACGGUGUAUUUUAUCCUUGUCCCAGGAACAAGGACGCUAAAAAGACCAUUAUGUCUUAUCUAAAAGGGUAAUAGACACGGUAGGACACACUGAAAUUGACUACUUUUCUUUAUCCCCUGGAAAGAUAUAGUAACUGGCUUGUGAAUGUGUGAAUUGAUGUGUCCUUAUAUGCGAAACAAAAGUGACUUUGUCACUGAAGCUCACCUGAGCCGAAGGCUCAAGUGAGCUUUUGUGAUCAAAUUUUGUCUGUCGCCCGUCUGUCUAGCUGUUCAUCCGUCCGUCUGUACACUUUUCAUAUUUUCAACUUCUUUUCAAGAACCAAUGGGGCAAUUUUAACGAAACUAGAUACAAAUUCGUCUCAGGUGAAAGGAAAUUUAAAUUUUGAAAAUGAAGGACAUUUCUCAAGGGGAGAUAUUAAAAAACAAAAACAAAAAGAGGUUGGAGUCAUUAAAUUUUUUUCUCAAGAACCACUGGUCCACAAAAUAUGAAAAUUAUGUGAAAUGAUCCUUUGGGUAGUGUAGAUUUUAAAUUGUAUGAAUCAUAACCCCGGGAGUAGGGCGGAGUCAUUAAAGGGAAUCUAAGUUUUACGUUGAAGUAUAUUGGAAAAAAACUUUUAAAAUCUUCUAAAGAACACUUUGGCAGAAAAGCUGACUCUUAUGUGGAAGCAUCCUUUGGUAUAGUGUUAAUUUUAAAUUAUUCGAAUCAUGACCCACUGGGUAGGGCGGGGCUACUAUUGGGAACCAAAGUUUUACAUUUAAUAAUUUAGGGGAAAAAGAUGAAACUUAUGUCGAGGCAUCCUGGGGUAGUGUAAAUUCUUAUUUGUUUGAAUUAUGAUCCUUUUGGAGUGUCAAGGUCAAGUUAGAUGUUAAAAAGGGGGAGAUCUUUUAAAUGGCAGAAUGGCUUAAGUUACUCAGGUGAGCAUUGUGGUCCAUGGGCCUCGUUUUUUUUAUAUUGUUGAAUGUUAUUUUGAAUUAUAGAUACAUGUGUUCUCUUUUGCAAGAGAAUGCUCCGCAAUCAAUGGCUCUUGUUAUCGACAUUUUUUUUUUCAUUUUUUAACCA